rnacentral:rRNA from 1 species
CGCAUCUGUGCAUGCAUGCAUAUCAAUAAGCGGAGGAAAAGAAACUAACAAGGAUUCCCCUAGUAACGGCGAGUGAAGCGGGAAGAGCUCAAAUUUGAAAUCUUAAAGGGUUUCCCUUUACGAAUUGUAGUUUAAAGAAGUGUUUUCUGUUGAGGUUUUGGUAAAAGUUCUUUGGAAUAGGACAUCAUAGAGGGUGAGAAUCCCGUAUUUGACCUUUACUUUCAACUUUGUGAUACACUUUCAAAGAGUCGGAUUGUUUGGGAAUGCAGUCCAAAAUGGGUGGUAAAUUUCAUCUAAAGCUAAAUAUUGGCGAGAGACCGAUAGCGAACAAGUACCGUGAGGGAAAGAUGAAAAGAACUUUGAAAAGAGAGUUAAACAGUACGUGAAAUUGUCAAAAGGGAAGCGUUUGACACCAGUGUUGUUUUUCUGAAAAUCAAUUAAAGAACUGUUUAUGCUAAGUUGUUUAGACUUUAUCAGCUAACUGUUUAGUUUUGAGCUUUUCUUUAAUGCACUUUUCAGUUAACAAGUCAACAUCAAUUUCUUUUGCUGUAAAAAAGCUUGAGGAAGGUGGCUUGAGAUUCGUCUUAAGUGUUUAUAGCCUCUUGCCUAUGCAGUCGGAGAGAUUGAGGUCUGCAGCGUAGAUCCUUCGGGGCUAAAUGCAUUUGUGCUAAGUUAUAACAUUUUAUAGACAACUUGUUGACUAUGAUUUGUCUUGUAGCUUACUCGCUUAUGUUAUUUUACCUACGCUUAGGAUGUUGAACGCGCACAGAGUCUC